ACUUCACCUGUGGUUGUAUUGCAUCUUCUUUAGAUGAAUGUGAUAUCCAAGAUAUAGCUGGGUUAUGAAUAUCAUUUGACCAAAACCAACAUUAUUGAUCUCUCACCUGCAAUGGUGUACAGUACAUAUACUCAAGACAGUAUUAAGAAACCAUUAUGUGGUUAACUAAGAGUUCCCAGAGAAAACUAUCUUAACAUUAAGUAGUUGCUAUUUCAGUCGUUCGCACGGUUUUCAGUGAACACAACAAAAACCAAAAAAAAGCUCAUGUAUUUUAGUCUCUUGAAAAACAUUCAAUAGAAAGUGAACAGCAAAGGAUAAAAGACUUGGCAGUUUAUUACACAGGCAUUUGCUGUGAUCUAUACUUUAUUUGAUGGUUACUGGCAGCUAAGUUUAUAAAGAAGUUCAUCUCCUUUUUAAUCAUUAAACAUACAGUUUGUAUAAGAUUCAACUGACUUUACAAAAACAUAACUAAAUAGUUAUGAAACCUAAGCUGUACUUUAAACCUAAUAAAGGACAACAUGCCAGUUCUUUUUAGGUUUUGCAGUUGGGGUUGAGAUUUGACAACAUAUUAACCAAGCUGAAACCAGUAUCAACAUGCUUAUUGUAUCUCUUUUGCAUUCAAUGUAAGCAUUUGGCUAUUUAACUGGGAAAGGAACUUGAUAGAUCUUGAUAGAUUCAGUUCAGGCUAAAAGACAGUAGCUCUCAUUCCAAAAAAUAACUGCUAAAUAAGACCAGUUUACAAAGUAGAAACGGCAGCAGAUGAUAAUGAAGUUGUUCAGCUUCUAUUAUUAAUGAAAGUUCCACUAGGACUGAAAAAUGAUGGGAUGCUCUGCUCUCAGAUGUCUUGAAUAAAAUCACACUACAAAAAUCUUUUCCUCAUAAAUCUUCAGGAUAUUUGGUUGAGUACACAGCAGUUUGCAGAGAGCUCUCUAACCAGACUACAGACUGGUUUCAUUCUGGCCUGUUAUGAAGUUACUCACUUAAUUAACAUUUAUAGGCGACAGCUCAUGUGACUAGCAGCUACCAGCGUUAACAUUCUGACCGGUGAAGGUGACGAUCAGGUGGACUUAAAAUGAGAAGCUGCUACCUAACUGUUUAUACACUGCUAUUUGCUAAUAAGAUUAGGCAGAGACAGGAAAGAAGAGUUAAUGUUAGUGAAUCUGUAUUUUGCCAGCUCCAGUGCCAGGGUUACAUAUCCCAGCUGCAGCGUUAUAGGUGGGCCUAGGCCCACCCACUCUGGCACUGGGCCCACCCAUUCAUUGAUCAAAAAUGACUUGGCGAAAAUAUAGUUUCCAACAUUUCUUGAUCAAAAUGAACAAUUAAAUAAUAAAAUAAGAGCAAAUCAGGCCGAACUCAUAGUCGAAGCGCGGGAGCAAACACAUCGUAGAACUUCUCGCGGCCGCGCGCAGACGAAGGAGGACAGUGGACUGGGCAGACACUACAAAUAUACCGCGCUCACUAACGAUGUCACAACAAUCGAUGUUCAGGUUUUUUUUAAAGAGUAAGAACAGAGUCGCCGCCGCCGGAACCACCACACUCAUCAUGCUCACAGCAGGUGCCGCCUCAGAGAGACAACAGUGUGUUUUAAUGUUGUGCCCCCACUGAGCUCAGUCCCUCUGCGGGACGUAGCACCCGUUGCAGGAUAACAGAAAAUAGCAUCCCAGUGCCGGACCUACCAGCCAUAGAUGACCCGGCGGCUACACAGCCAAAGCUCAUAAAGUACCCUCAGACACUUUUAGGACAAAAGAAAAGAAGCUUCGCUGCCCACUGAGGCUGAGGACUGAAGAGAGAUCUCCGAGGUUUUCCUGAAUUCUCAAACUGUGUCAUCAAGACCCAGGAGGGAGUACGUGCGGUUGCCACGGCUACAAUUUAUAUACCGUUUCACAAGGCUGGUGGAAAAAAUGGCCGCCAAGGUGGAUUGUUGCUGAGACUGGAUAAGGGAGCAAAAAAAAAAAGGCCAGGUAUCUCAUGCUCAACUAUUCCUCCUUUUUCUUUUUUUCUAGAUUUCAUCAUAUUUCAAAUAGAGCCGACACUACAAGGACCCAAAUGUAUUUAUUAUCUGUAAUGGUUUUUUAUGAGUCUACUACAAUCUCUCCUCCAAGUCUGCUGCUGUCAUUACCGCGGUCCUCAAUGGGUUCACGGAGAGGUUUAACUCGUCUUCAAAGGAACCCCCCCCCCUCUUUACUUGGACAUGAACUGUUUGACCACGUCUCUAAAAAGUCUUACCACGAAUCCUCUUCGUUCUGUCAAUGUGAACAGCGAAGUAGUGACUGUUCCCGCUCUCCUGGCGAUCCGUGUUCCAUCCUUCCGCACCGUUAGUUGGAUUGGUGGAUGUAUUUAUAAUGAACUCUAUUCCUUUCCAGAAACAUGAUUUGUCUCUCUUCCAUUUCAUUUUUAACUUGAGGACUGUCAUGUCAACAAACCCCCCCUACCCUUCCCCUUUCAACUCUUUAUUUUCCUGAGAUACAUUUUUACAUCACUUUAUUUAAAGCGUCACGUUUAAGAAAAAAAGCACUUUAUCUGUACCUUGGUGGCCUGCUGUGAGCUCACUGUCUGAGACACUAUUUGCGAGAUACAGCCCUGAUAGGCAGCAGGCGAGUUCAGAAGCCUUGUGGUUGACUAUCCAUGGCCUUGGAGAUACAAAAAAACCUUUCUUUGUUUUAUUUUAUUGUACGAUGUAUGGGACACCAGACACGGAUGGUUGUGUACACUGUAUUCUCGACUUUGGGUGCAUUUUCUCUCUCAGCUCACACACACACUACAACAACAUUUCCACUGGAGAAACAUGGGUGAACACAUGUGUCAAAGCCCCCUAUGCAUUAUCAGUUAAAGCUUUAUGAGUGGGAGAAGAAGGAAAAACAUGCUGUAAGAAUACUGUGAAUUCAACUGCUGAAGAGGAGCUCCCUACUACUCAGAGUCAUUGGCAGAAGAGCAGACUGCAACGCUGACCUUUAGUGACCUUUGUGUUGAAAGCAGCACUGUUGGAAUAGGGGGAGGGGAGGCAGUGAAGGCAAGAGGCUGUCAAGCAAAGCCCGGUCUGUAUUAAAAAAAAAAAAACACAGAGCGAAGGCACACAGUCACGCUCGGCCAACCAGACGUCUCCCUCAUGCCCGUCUGGAACACUCCGCUCACAUGGAGGCUGAAAGCAGCUCAUCCUUUGUCAAAGAGAGACGUGUGUUUAUUAGGGGAGCAUGUAAUGCACUCCUCCCAUUUUUGAUAAUCUGCGGUUUGACUGUGCUGUCAAGUCCCGGCUAGUUUCCAGGCAGCCUUACACAAGACGAGUGGGAGAGUCUCAGCGUAUGUUUGCCUGAGAGAGGCCGGCAGGAUGAGCAACAUGGCUGUCUACUGUUGCCCACGUUGGUCAAUGUUAUUGGCUACUUUUCUUUUGUUUUCUUUUUUACAUGUACUGUACAUAAAAUAAAAUAUAAAGCAAUACCUGU